ensembl:lncRNA LINC00448 long intergenic non-protein coding RNA 448
AGAGCUCUUAUGAAAGAGACCCCAGAGAGAUCCCUUGCAAGUUCCACCAUGUGAGGAUACAGGGAGAAAAUGGCAGUCUAUGAACCAGGAAGCAAGUCUUCACCAGAACCCAGCUGUGCUAGCACCCUGAACUCAGGCUUUCAGCCUCCAGAACUAUCCUCAGAGCUUUAUAGCCUUUCAGUUGAGAAAUAUGAAACACUGAAAAUCAAAAACAAAUGCUGGAAAUCUUCUAUCAGGAGUUCUUCUACAGAUUGAAAACCUGCACAGUAGAGAAUACAACCUAAGGAGUAUUUUACAUGCCUUCCUUUGUAUCAGGGCAGACUCAUGAUUAGUGGACUUGGAAGUUCAUAAAAUUUGGAGGGUCCUCUUUAAGAAAGAGAGGAAAAGGUUAUAAAUACAAAAUUAGAUGCAAAGCCUGCCACCAUGUAAGAUAUGCCUUUCACCUUCAGCCAUGAUUGCGAGGCCUCCCCAGCCUGAUGGAAUUAAAAACCAUGCCUUUCCUAUGUGGAUAAUCAGCAAAGCUGAGGACAUCGGGAAGCAACUCAGGAUUGCCAGUUUACAGCUCUUCUGGAUGUGCACUGGUUAAUGCAUGGAAUUCAGCAACAGCAGACUUUGUUCCUUUGAUGGAUCCAGAAGAUCGCCACAUCAAGGAAUAUGGUGGUAAAACUGCAAGAUAAUCUGCCACCCCUAACAACUAUAGAAGUUCUAAGGAUGUUAGAGACUCAUAGAGAGGAAUUCUAAUGGCCAUACUUGAACCGUUGCAGCAAUACACUCAGAAGAUUGGUGAAAGAAAAGAAAGGCAUUUUGAAAGUGAUUUUCAAAAAACAGUUAAUCCAGAAUUCCAUAUUUAGCAAAAUUAUACUUCAAGAAUGAAUGUGACAUGAUAAUGUCAAUGAAAAGAAAAACAAAAUAAUUUGUCACCCCAAAAAAUUAUUGAACAAGAAUGCUAAAGAAAGUAGUGUAUAACGUAUAUGGCUGUGAAAUAUAUUAUGAUUAAAGCCUAGAGGAUUUUGGAAGAUGUGUUAAAUGGG